rnacentral:misc_RNA from 1 species
AGUAUAUGUCUUUUUGUUGUAGAUGUUGCCCUCUUGAUCUUCAUAUUCUUCUUCAAGAUCAGGGCGCCACUUAUUCACCCCUUGUCUUUCUUGGAUUCUUUCCCAAAGUAGCUUGGCUUCUUCGAUUGAUGUGAUCUCAUUGAAGUUUUUAGUAUUUGGGAUACCGAGGCAACGCAUCCCAUGUUGAUGUCUCCAUUCCUUGAAAUGCCGCUCAUAAGCCCUACGGCCCCAGUAACUAUGGUUCCCACAUAUCUCACACUUGAACUCCUGACCAAGACCGUGAAGUUUAUACAACCAGUAUGGAAUAGGUUUCCCAUCCCAGCCCAUUGGCAAUUUCAGAGGAUUAUAAAUUUGUUGGUCUUCAUCAUCACUCUCAGACUCAGCCUGAACAUCGUCCUCUUCACGUUCUGCCUCCAUUUCUUCAUAUGUCAAAGCCUGCUUUUUCUCAACAUUUUCUCUUGUCCGCACAAUUGUCUCAUCCAACAGAUCACAUAGCCUUCUUAUCUUGGCUUCCAAGAGAGCAAUCUCUUUAACAUCACCCACGUGAGAAGUCGCAACAACACUGUUUUGUUCUGGUUUCCACGAACCCUUGGCGAAAUGCUUUCUGUCUAGUUUUUCAAGCGAGAUGUUCUUCGUAAGGAAAAGUCUCUCGGCACGUUGCUGAAUAGUACCUCCUGUCUUCAGUCCCAGUGCUCCCAAUGCCUCCUUUAACUUCUCUGGUCCCACUACCAUCAGCUCCUCAGCUGUACUAUAAUAAUCAAGAUCAAUCACAGUAUAAUUCUCUGGAGCACUUCCAUUUUCCUGACCAUUAUUUUCCCAUCCUUCUACCUUGCCCAAAGUCCACUCCUCUUCGAAUUCACUUGUUACCUUUGAAAAUAUCCUAUCAAGAUCCUGCAAGGGCUCCGUCCGCUCAAAAAAGUAGACCAGAUACUCCAAUAGUUUCUGCAAAUAUUCUAGGUACCGCCUAGUCGUCUUUGCUUUACGAGGAAUCUUCUGUGGUUCAGAAAAUACAUUAAGAUAAGCCGUGUAUUCAAUUGGUUCACCAAAUUUGGAGUUGAUAUACUCGUUAAACAAUUCAUGUAAGUCAAGGUAUCGCCCAGAACCUUCCUCGCCGCUAAACUCAAUUUGUGGUUCUUCUUUGAGGAGCUGCUCAUAUUCAUCACCAGUAUCAAUAAUAGCACGCGCAGCAGGAUGCCUUCUAUGGUACUCACGA